AGUGGUUAAGCGCUUGGCUGUUAGCCAAAAGGUCGGUGGUUCAAACCCACUAGCCACUC
rnacentral:tRNA from 1 species